UGUGUCUACUCCACAAAAUAGGCCCACGAUGUUAAUUAAAGGAGGAUAUGUUAACCCCGUCUGACUCACGGUGCGGCAGUGUGGAGACCUGUCGUAAUACUGACCUCAGCAAGCCUGGGGCAGCGAGAGCAUACGCGAGGAGUCGGUAUGCUUAGAGUCGAAGUGUAUGGCA
rnacentral:ncRNA from 1 species